UACGUAGGCAGCGAGCGUUGUUCGGAAUUACUGGGCGUAAAGAGUGUGUAGGCGGUGCUCUAAGUUCGGUGUGAAAUCUCCUGCUUAACUGGGAGGGUGCGCCGGAAACUGGAGUGCUCGAGCGUGGGAGAGGAAAGCGGGAAUUCCUGGUGGUAGCGGUGAAAUGCGUAGAUAUCAGGAGGAACACCUGUGGUGUAGACGGCUUUCUGGACCAUAGCUGACGCUGAGACACGAAAGCGUGGGUAGCAAACAGG
rnacentral:rRNA from 1 species